UUCACUUGGCAUUAACGUUUGGAUUGUAGUGAAUAGCUGGGGGAAGAAAUGAGGUGACGAAGGUUAUUGUCGAAUCUGUAGAGACUCAAGUUUGCCUUCAGGCAAAACAUCAAUUUUAAGUAGAGCUUCCUACCCUGUGCUUGAUGACUGAGGACAUGGGAAGGAGCAGAGAGACAAGAGCAAAGAUGGUUCAAGAACGUUAAAUGAUGUUUAUGUAAAUGAAUUGAAGAUCUCUUCCCUGUAUGAUAUAGUCUAUUAUCUGCAUGCUACUUGCUAUAUUUCUUGGACUUAUUGCUAAAUGCUUAACUGUUUCUUCGCUAUAUCUUUUAGGAUGAA